rnacentral:rRNA from 1 species
UACGGGGGGAGCAAGCGUUGUUCGGAUUUACUGGGCGUAAAGGGCGCGGUAGGCGGUCGUGACAAGUCACUUGUGAAAUCUCCGGGCUUAACUCGGAACGGUCAAGUGAUACUGUCGGACUAGAAGUACAGAAGGGGGCAACUGGAAUUCUCGGUGUAGCGGUGAAAUGCGUAGAUAUCGAGAGGAACACCUGCGGCGAAGGCGGGUUGCGUGGGCUGAUGACUGACGCUGAGGCGCGAAAGCCAGGGGAGGCGAACGGG